CGGCCUUCCUCGUCUCUGCUUCUACGGUCUCUAUAUAUAAAUUGUCUUUAAUCAGACGCAGGUGAUGUUUAUUACUCAAGACAGCUGUUCGCCAGGUGCCAGGACUCACUGCUACGCUUCUCAACCCUGAAAUGUUUUAAAUUUUUUACUGAAGGCUUUUUUAUCAGGUAUCAGGAGUUAUGGAUGAAGGCAGUAGACAGAGAAGGAAAGGAUUGGACAAUUGUAAAGGGAAAAAAAGAGUAUUUUGAGAUUCUAUAUUUUUAUACCACUGGUUUCAAGAUUCAGCCACUUUAAAGAUCAAGCACUGGAAGAUAAAUGGGGCGUUAGAUUGGUUAAUGCUCUACAUCUACCCUGUAGAUCCGAAUUUGUUUGAUAGAGGGCGACAAAUUCGGUUCUAGAGAGGUUUGUGUGGGGCAUAUACAUUGACUGCGGCAGAACGAUGAAAGGAAAAUCAUUUGGUGUCAUAUUAUAACACAAUAUAUUAUAAAUUAAUUUUAUUUAUGAACUAUGUAUACAUUUUAUAAUGUUGAAAUUUAUAUAUUAUGAUUUAUUUAACUGUGAAAAAUUUAAAUAAAAAAAAAAAAAGAUAAUGUGGAGUAUUGUUUGAACUAAUAAAUAUUAUUUUUUAGUAGUUUUUAGUACUUUAAAACCCAAUGAUGCCCAAAACUUCAUUUGUGUUCUAAAUAAUUUUAUAUAAUUUGCUGCUUCAUGUUCGUUGUUACUAACUUUUUAUUUUAUUGAGUAUAUGUAUCUACUUAUUUCAUAAUUGUAUAUGUAUUCUAUGACCUAACCAAACAUGUAAAUUUUUCUUUAGCUUACUAAUUUCCAUACAUUUAGAUUGAGCUUUUUGUUAU